UACGGGGGGGGCAAGCGUUGUUCGGAAUUACUGGGCGUAAAGGGCGCGUAGGCGGCCAUCUAAGUCAGACGUGAAAUCCCCCGGCUUAACCUGGGAACUGCGUCUGAUACUGGACGGCUUGAGUAUGGGAGAGGGAUGUAGAAUUCCUGGUGUAGCAGUGAAAUGCGUAGAUAUCAGGAGGAAUACCGAUGGCGAAGGCAGGUCUCUGGGCUGACACUGACGCUCAUGCACGAAAGCGUGGGGAGCAAACAGG
rnacentral:rRNA from 1 species